rnacentral:lncRNA from 1 species
AAUAUUUAAGCAUAGACUUAACUAAUUCGAGAAAUAAAAAAUAUACAUUUUAUUUUUAAUUUAUUUUAUCUUAUUUUUCUUUUAUUUCGCAGGUAAACCUUCCAAAAUAAAAUUGAAGCCCCUAUGUCAGCCCACAAAGUUCCUCUAAUUUUAGUUAAGGCUCAAACUACCUACCCACCAUUUAACCUAACCAUUAUCCAAUCUAACCCAUUAACUACAAACCACCUUUAACCCAUCAGACCUACCCAAAUUCAAACCCAAAAUAAAAAAUCACCCUAAGCCCAAUAAAACCCCCCCAAACCGUCCACCUAUCUAAAAGAAAUAAAAAAACCCCAACCUUUCACCCAUCAAAUCCUAUCCAUCUUUUCACCUAGAAAAAUACAACUCCACUACCCCUAUUUUAACUCAUCUCUCUCUCCCUAACUGUCUACCCUUUUUAAAAGAAACCCAACCUUUCACCUAUCAAAUCAUAGCCAUCUACCUAUCUUUCACCUA